CGACAUGUCACGUGACCAUCGUGCUCCUCCCUCCGUUAUGACCACAAUUAGCAGCCAGGUCAGUACUUGUCUAGCCUGCCAGAGGUUUAAGAGGGUGAAGACUGGCGCUGGAGUUGAAGCCCAUCAAAAUUGUUUCACCAUGGCACAUGAUCAGCUGGGCACCUGGCA